AGCGAACGCUGGCGGCAGGCUUAACACAUGCAAGUCGAGCGGGCACUCUCGGGUGUCCGCGGCGGACGGGUGGGUAACGGGGGGGAACGCACCCGCUGGUCCGGAAUAACUCAGGGAAACUUGAGCUAAUACCGGAUACGCCCUUUUGGGGUGAGGGGUUCUGCCGGUGGAUCGGGCCGCGUGGGAUUAGUUAGUUGGUGGGGUGACGGCGCCCCAAGGCGAGUAUUAGUAGGUGGUCAGAGAGGAAGAUCAGCCACACCGGGACUGAGACACGGCGCAGACUCCUACAGGAGGGAGCAGUGGGGGAUAUUGGAAUAUGGGGGCGAGGCUGAAGGAGCCAUGCCGCGUGAGUUAUGAAGGCCUUAGGGUUGUAAAGCUCUUUUAUCCGGGACGAUAAUGACGGUACCGGAGGAAUAAGCCCCGGCUAACUUCGUG
rnacentral:rRNA from 1 species